rnacentral:rRNA from 1 species
UACGAAGGGGGCUAGCGUUGCUCGGAAUCACUGGGCGUAAAGCGCACGUAGGCGGAUUGUUAAGUCAGGGGUGAAAUCCUGGAGCUCAACUCCAGAACUGCCUUUGAUACUGGCGAUCUUGAGUCCGGGAGAGGUGAGUGGAACUGCGAGUGUAGAGGUGAAAUUCGUAGAUAUUCGCAAGAACACCAGUGGCGAAGGCGGCUCACUGGCCCAUUACUGACGCUGAGGCACGAAAGCGUGGGGAGCAAACAGG